UGUAGCUGGCCUCUCACGAGGCAUGUGCACGCCUGGCUCAUCCACUCUUAACCUCUGAGCACUUUAUGUAAGAGAAAAAAAUGGUGGAAGCUUCCAGGAUCUCGCGAGAGGUCUUCGGUUGAACAAGCCGUUUUUCUUUCUUAUGUUUUACUACAAACGCUUCAGUUAUAGAAUGUCAACUGUGUAUGACACAUUUAUAUAC
rnacentral:misc_RNA from 1 species